GACGAACGCUGGCGGCGCGCUUAACACAUGCAAGUCGAGCGGAGCGGCGAACGGGUGAGUAACGCGUGGGUGACCUGCCCUGCACUUCGGGAUAAGCCUGGGAAACUGGGGCUAAUACCGGAUAGUGUGGGAUGGGCCCGCGGGCUAUCGGCUUGUUGGUGGGGUAAUGGCCUACCAAGGCGGCGACGGGUAGCCGGCCUGAGAGGGUGGACGGCCACAUUGGGACUGAGACACGGCCCAGACUCCUACGGGAGGCAGCGGUGGGGAAUAUUGCACAAUGGGCGGACGCCUGAUGCAGCGACGCCGCGUGGGGGAUGACGGCCUUCGGGUUGAAAACUCCUUUCACCAUCGACGCGGUAGAUGGAGAAGAAGCACCGGCUAACUACGUGCCAGCCGCCGCGGUAAUAC
rnacentral:rRNA from 1 species